rnacentral:lncRNA from 1 species
UAUUCAUUCUUUCCUUUUAUUCUUGUAUAUGUUCUCUCUUUCUAAUAUAUUUGUCACGGUGGUGGUUUGUUGCUGUUCUGCUUCAUGGACAAUGACUAUCUACUCUGUUUACACAACUAUAUAAUUUUUAUUCCACCUGCAUCAGUAAACCAUUUAAUUUUUAUUCCACCUGCAUCAGUAAACCAUUUUUUUUUUUAAGGUGUGUGGAUGCUCAUUUAUAGCCAUCUUUGUCACAGAUUAAGUUCUUGAGGGAAGUUGGUUUCGAAAGUGCUCUGUAGGGUUCAGGAAAAUAUGUCUGCAUAGUUACCUUGUCAUGGUUCAGUUGAGUGGAGGUUUCAUUACAAUUUUAUAUAUUGUCGAGACUUUGAGCAUCCUUUUAGACUAUGCUACAGAUCAUCAAAUAUUUAAUAAAUUUAAACAAAGAAAGGAAAAUUAUAAUUUUUUACAAUGCUUCGUAAUCCAACCUAACGUGAUACCACAUCAGGAGGGUUUUACUUUGUUCAUUCAUGCUUCAUUUUCAUCUAACCUGAAAAUUGGAAUUGUUUUUGUUUUGGCGAAACUGGGCCAAAUUGAAAUGGUGGUUUUCAUGUGAUAACUGAUAUAUGGCAAACUAUUGACUGAUAGUUUCAGCAAUGUUGUUACAAUUUAUUUUUUCCACCGUGCUUAAAAAUAAGUUAUCUGUCUCCUCUGUAUGCUAUGUUCGAAUGGUGUUUAUAACUUAUAGGCCUAAGAUUAAAGUCUCUGAUUUGGAGGUUUUGGGCAAAGAUUCAUCUUGUAAAUCAUAUUUUUCAGUGGUUUAUUGGAGGAUCUCUCCAGUGUGAUUACGAAUUUCAAGAUUAUUCGAAAGGCUGAAAUCACACCCAAAGUUCAAGUCGUUUAGGGUCUUUGGCCCUGUGUAUGUUAGUACCAGGGAAGUCAUUCAAAGAAAGCAUCUGAUGAUGUGCCUUUCACCAUCAUGACAUGUGACUUGUAGAAAGAGUAUCCUAUAUGCCAUUCUCGAUUCCUGUGGAUCCUUACUUUUGGAAAAUAGUUGUUUUGGGGGAAGGGUAGAAAGCCAAAUCCUUAGUGAGUGCAUUGGAUGCAUUGUUUUAUCACUCUUAUGGAUUCCAAAAGGAGCAAUUGUAUCUUUAAUGAAAAUAUAUGAGAAAUUAUAUGCAGGCUUGUGGGAGAGAGUUCAUCGUUUGCUUCAUACUGAUUUCAAGGAUUUUCUUUAUACAUCUAGAUGUUUGGGAAGGCUUUUGAGAUAGUAUUGUAUAGAUUGAUAUCAUUUUCUGGGUGUGAUCUUUUAUGAAAUUGGUUCCCCCCUCCCUUAUUGUUUGUUUUCUUUGUAGAAUUUAGUCCACAUUUCUACCUCCUUUCUUUUUGGCAUUAAUUUACACAUUUUUCUUUUUCUGAAAAUAAGGAGAUUCAAAUCUCUGAUUUUGUGUGUUUGAUGCUUAGA